CAAAGGGGAUUACCGGUGGCGGAUGGGCAUGCGGCGCAUUAGCUAGUCGGCGGGGUAACGGCCCACCGAGGCGACGAUGCGUAGGGGUUCUGAGAGGAAGGUCCCCCACACUGGUACUGAGACACGGACCAGACUCCUACGGGAGGCAGCAGUGAGGAAUAUUGGUCAAUGGGCGCGAGCCUGAACCAGCCAAGUCGCGUGAGGGAUGACGGUCCUACGGAUUGUAAACCUCUUUUGCCGGGGAGCAAGCGUGCGUUCGUGAACGCGCGUCGAGAGUACCCGGAGAAAAAGCAUCGGCUAACUCCGUGCCAGCAGCCGCGGUAAUACGGAGGAUGCGAGCGUUAUCCGGAUUUAUUGGGUUUAAAGGGUGCGUAGGCGGGAUGCCAAGUCAGCGGUAAAAAUGCGGUGCUCAACGCCGUCGAGCCGUUGAAACUGGCGUUCUUGAGUGGGCGAGAAGUAUGCGGAAUGCGUGGUGUAGCGGUGAAAUGCAUAGAUAUCACGCAGAACUCCGAUUGCGAAGGCAGCAUACCGGCGCCCUACUGACGCUGAGGCACGAAAGCGUGGGUAUCGAACAGGAUUAGAUACCCUGGUAGUCCACGCAGUAAACGAUGAAUGCUAACUGUCCGG
rnacentral:rRNA from 1 species